rnacentral:rRNA from 1 species
UACGGGAGGCAGCAGUGGGGAAUAUUGCACAAUGGGCGAAAGCCUGAUGCAGCUAUGCCGCGUGUAUGAAGAAGGCCUUAGGGUUGUAAAGUACUUUCAUCGGGGAGGAAAAACAAAACUAAUAAUUUUAUUUCUUGACGUUACCCAAAAAGAAGCACCGGCUAACUCCGUGCCAGCAGCCGCGGUAAUACGGAGGGUGCUAGCGUUAAUCAGAAUUACUGGGCGUAAAGAGCACGUAGGUGGUUUUUUAAGUCAGAUGUGAAAUCCCUGGGCUUAACCUAGGAACUGCAUUUUGAAACUGAAAUACUAGAGUAUCGUAGAGGGAGGUAGAAUUCUAGGUGUAGCGGUGAAAUGCGUAGAUAUCUGGAGGAAUACCUGUGGCGAAAGCGGCCUCCUAAACGAAUACUGACACUGAGGUGCGAAAGCGUGGGGAGCAAACAGGGAUUAGAUACC